GUGCCUGUAGCUCAGGGGAUAGAGCGUUGGACUCCGGAUCCAAAGGUCGCGGGUUCAAAUCCCGCCAGGCACGCCA
rnacentral:tRNA from 1 species